AGAAAAGUCAAAAAGUUUAAGUUAUUAUUCUAAAUUCUAAGAAAGAUUAUCCACCCAAAGGAAUGAGAAAAAAG
rnacentral:ribozyme from 1 species